ACCGACGAAGGCGACUACAACAUCAAGCUACGUAAUUUGGUCCAUUUCUUGGAAGAAGGGGAUAAAGUUAAAAUCACGCUUCGCUUUCGAGGUCGAGAAAUGGCACACCAGGAGUUUGGUGUCAGGCUGCUGGAAAGGGUGCGGGAAGAUCUUGACGAGCAUGCAAUCGUGGAGCAAUUUCCUCGACUGGAAGGUCGGCAGAUGGUUAUGGUGCUGGCACCCAAAAAGAAAGAAGUGAAAACCGGUAAAUCCAAAGAAAACGAAACCGAACUAAAAACUGGCUCCAAGAACGAAUUGACAUCCUAGUAACCAAGUGAAUAGACGGUUCUUGGUGAU
rnacentral:misc_RNA from 1 species